GUUCUUUUACAGAAUGGCUCUCAAGUCGAAAGAGGGCUGUGCCUUUGGUGUUUGGACAGACCAUAAUUCUCUCAGCAACAAUGUGUGACAACAUUCUUGGAGAAUUGCUAACCAGGGAAGCUCCACCAAGCCUUGGUGUCCAGAUUUUUUCUUGAGGGUUGGUCACGUAGGCAUAGCAUGACUGAUAGCCCAUGUGGCUGACCUUCAGUUUUCAGCCCCUCCAAAGAUGGAGCUGAUACUACAUGGCCUAAGGACUUCACCAUUAAUCACAUUGUUAGCUUAGACUACCUGGUAUGGCCUAAGGCCCCCAAGUAAAUUAAAACAUUCAUAUCAGGCAGGAUAGUCCAAGGACUUAGAGGUUAUCUUGAAUCUGGACACAGGACAAACAUUUCUUUGGAAUGUGAAAAGUUUACACAAUCAAGACUUGCUAUGUUGAUCCUUUACUGCGGUAUUGUUUUUUGUUUUCUGACCCAAAAGUGAUGUGCAUUGCUUACCUAUCAUGGCCUCUGGUUAAGGUGUCAGUCUUGCCUCCAAAUUUCCUCCUAAAGCAUGGAAUUGGCCAUAAAUUUGCUUAGUGAUUUUCUGAUUUAGUAUCAUUAGUUUGAUGACUAGUUUUAUUAUGUGAGUGUGAUAAAAGGUUACGCUUAGUAUACAAAGACCUUCUUAUAAGUCUAGUUAAUAAAACUAGGGCCAUGUGUUACUACAACAUAGGAGUUAACUUUGUCUGGAGGCUUUUUCAAGCCCAAGAGGUUGUCAUUUCUUUAUGUGUAAGAUACUGCCCACAUACUAUACUGAAGUCAGGAACCAAGAACCGGUCAAUUUACCUCAGCCAAGUUGCUUGGACUGCUUUGCUUAAUAAUGGGUUUGCCAUAUCUACUUUAAUGAGAUGUGUGGCAUGGUGAUGGUUACAAAAGUGAUUUGUUAAUUAUUGCCUGGUAGGAAGGAGAACAUGUUUUUUUUGAACCUAUGCAAAUAGCCACAUGUCUGUGAAAAGUAAAGGGAUACUUUUGUGUAAUAUUUAACCAUG
rnacentral:lncRNA from 1 species